rnacentral:piRNA from 1 species
UGACAACAGUGUCGUCUCAAACCUUUGG